CUUCUCCUGAGCACGAGUAUCCAAUCUGCACUUGUGUCCAAUCUUUAUUUCAUCUCCCAGCUGCUAUACAGGAAAUUCAGUGGAAACUUUCUAGUGAAUCUCUUGGGUAAAUGGAAAGAAUCUGAGUAUUCAGGUGGUCAGUAUAUUCCCGUGGGUGGUCUAGCAUAUUAUAUUACUGCACCAUCGAUCUUAGCUGAUAUGGCAACCA